CCCUCCACCCUUAUCACUCAGUACCCACCUGACCCUACUUAUCUUCCAGAGGCAAUCACUGUUCUGGAUUCUCUCACCACGAGGAAGUCAAUUCAUGAGAGACUGCUCCACAAAGCUUGCUGGGGAGAGAAGAAGCGAACAGAUUCAGGAGGCAGAAGAGUAGAGUGAGACCUCCAUGUAAAUAUGUCCAAGCUGGCCCGCUUGAAGGAUGGUAGGCCAUGCAGAAGAAAACCAAGGCACCCAGAAGGACAUCCUGCCAACUGCGAGAUGUUUGAGUGAGACCAUUCUGUCAGCCAGUCACCAGCCAGCCAACCAGCUAAUGACAGAUGCAUGCAUAGGCUCCAGAGAGAUCAGCUGAGUUGUCCCAGACUACAAGAACCAGCCAACCCGCAGAAUUACAAGAACAAUAAAAGGUUGUUUUCUUAAGC
ensembl:lncRNA novel transcript